GACGUAGGAGGCGAGCGUUGUCCGGAUUUACUGGGCGUAAAGAGCGCGCAGGCGGUCGUUCAAGUCGAGUGUGAAAGCCCCCGGCUCAACUGGGGAGGGUCAUUCGAUACUGAUCGACUCGAAGGCAGGAGAGGGAAGUGGAAUUCCCGGUGUAGUGGUGAAAUGCGUAGAUAUCGGGAGGAACACCAGUGGCGAAGGCGGACUUCCUGGCCUGUUCUUGACGCUGAGGCGCGAAAGCUAGGGGAGCAAACGGG
rnacentral:rRNA from 1 species